rnacentral:rRNA from 1 species
UACGUAGGGAGCAAGCGUUGUCCGGAAUCAUUGGGCGUAAAGCGCGCGUAGGUGGCCACAUAAGUCCGUUGUGAAAGUCAAAGGCUCAACCUUUGAAAGCCGAUGGAUACUGUGUGGCUAGAGUACGGAAGGGGCGAGUGGAAUUCCUGGUGUAGCGGUGGAAUGCGCAGAUAUCAGGAGGAACACCUAUAGCGAAGGCAGCUUGCUGGGACGUAACUGACGCUAAGGCGCGAAAGCGUGGGGAGCGAACAGG